AGAGUUUGAUCAUGGCUCAGGAUGAACGCUAGCUACAGGCUUAACACAUGCAAGUCGAGGGGCAGCAUGGUCUUAGCUUGCUAAGGCUGAUGGCGACCGGCGCGACGGGUGAGUAACACGUAUCCAACCUGCCGUCUACUCUUGGCCAGCCUUCUGAAAGGAAGAUUAAUCCAGGAUGGGAUCAUGAGUUCACAUGUCCGCAUGAUUAAAGGUUUUCCGGUAGACGAUGGGGAUGCGUUCCAUUAGAUAGUAGGCGGGGUAACGGCCCACCUAGUCUUCGAUGGAUAGGGGUUCUGAGAGGAAGGUCCCCCACAUUGGAACUGAGACACGGUCCAAACUCCUACGGGAGGCAGCA
rnacentral:rRNA from 1 species